AUCAAGCCUGACCUCUCUGCCCCCCUGCUUCCUACUUAUCACAUGGAGGCGGCUCACCUUCUGCGUCGACACCGCUGACCAGAGGCAGGAGCCUGCCCGUCCCCACCACUGGCCGGUGGGAGAGCACAGCUGAUUUGUGUGUAAGAAGCAAAACAACGAAACAUCAAUCACUGGCCUCUUUAACAGGCAGAACCUAAUACAAGUAACCCCUCCCACCCUGCAACAUCGCACCCCAUCCCACGCUGAAAGAGCACAGCUCCGAG